GUUCAAAUGUUUCACCGUUGUUGACUACAACAUGUACAUAUAGCAUUGUCAGAGAAUGAUUCCUGACUUCUGGUUCUAGUGCAAUAUUCGGUGAAAAUUUGUCAAGAACGAAGAAACAAACUUAUUCCAUUUUCCAUGCAGAUACAAUUCUCAGCAUCUUAUCCGAUGGUCAGGAAAACAAACAAAUGCGAACAGAUAUCCAUCCGACUGACUGGGUGAUCCAAUUUGGACAUCCCUUACCAUUGAUGGGGCAGCAGUUGGACCCAGCACCCAGUCUAUUUCGAUUCCGUUCAUUGUACACGCCAAGCCGUACGAAACGUUCGCACCGCAGAGCGGGCUUUAUCAUCCCUUCGAACAGCUUUGGUGUCCGGCGCUGAGCAAAAUCCAUGAACAUGUAUACGUACAUAUAAAAUCUGAAUAUAAAAAAAACACACACACACACAACAAAGCAUAAAAAAAUCACAAAACCUACACAAUUGUUCAAGCGAACAGGACGACCUGGACAAGCGGCUGAUAUGCGCCAUAGAAUUUUGUGUUGAUAUUUUAUACGCAUGAAUAAUUUUAAUCAAAAAAUAUCCCAUUUUGUCCGUUGGCUGGAAAAUUUUAACAAAUAACAAAGGAGCACCGCUAGAAUGAGGGAAGAGAAGUUAUGAUAAAAACGAAGCUGCUAUUGUAGCGUGGUACUGUGGGGUACCGCACCGGAGCGGCUACCGGCGAACAGGAUGUUGGAGGUGUUUGAGCACGAUCUGGUUGCAUUGUUUCCGAAACCGUGAGCUUAGUCAAGGCAGGGUUAGCGAAAUUGAAAAACGCACCAAAAUAUAUACGAAGUAUGCUUCCAGUGGAAAGGAAUGAAACGGAAGAAGGCAUUCAAUAGAAACACUGGUUUAUAUCUCUUACAUUCCAUAUUACCUAGACCCGGAUGAAGCAAAAUCAAAUGAACGCGAGUUUGAGAGUAUUUAUUUUUUCAUAAACCUUUAAAUCCUCAGAAGAAAUUUGGCGUUGUUAGCUGCUGAAUAUUCAUCAUACUAAGUGAAAGCUUUCACAUUUUUGGCCAAAUGGAAAUAGGUAGACAUUUUUUUGUUUGUAUACUCUACGAUUUGGGACGAGACGAUCUCUCCGUAAUGGCAAACAAGGCUCUUCUGCCAUUAAGGUAAUGAGUAUUAUGAUGACAGCAAAAGCAUCCAUUAUAGGUGCAAACAUGUUUGUUGGUCGUCUUCUUUGGAUCAGAAUCAUUACAUAGAUGAUAUAAAAG